GACAAAGGGCAGGGUGCUCAGAGAGAGAGAGCAGCCUGGCCUUGAAACCACAGGCAGAUUUGGGCGACAGGCCUCAGAUGCCCAGGCUGGCCAGGAGCACCCUCUUCCCUCCAGGCCUGCCAGCCACCGAUCAACCCUCUGGGUGUUUCCAGUGUGCUCUGGAGCCUUACAGCACGUGGCCCUUCACCCAGCAGUGUGCACUGCCAUGUGUGCUCACUGCUGCAGCUGGAGGAAAAGGUUUCCAAGAUGGAGGAGCCACAUGAUGGGAGGAGCACAGGUUGCAGAGUUGUCACUUACAGGAAGGACACUCAAAAGCACAUCUAAUCCAGACCACAUGUUCAUGAAAACUUUGGGCCAUUCCCCAUUCAGGAAGGACUGACUGCAUCUGAAAUAGGAUGACAGAGGAAUUACUCUCACUGAUAUUACCCUUCAGCUACAUCCCAGCACCGAGAGACUCUGCUAACUGCUAUUGCCAUAAUGACUAGCAAUCACGGUACAAUCACUGAAAUGAAUUAAAUUAUUAAUUUCAAUAGCACCCCAUGGUGCAUUUAUAAAUUCCACCAUCUGGGGAACAUAAAUAUGGAGGUCCACAUUCUAAACUUGGAGGCGUGGUGCUGAGCGCCAAGGGCUGCAUCUUUGAAGGCAGUAAAGAUUUUUCAAGAUACUAUAUGUGGAGCAGCAAGCUGUGCAUUUCAGAGAAGGCUCUGUCCCUGGAUCUCCAUGAGCAUUACCAUUUAUUUAAGGCUCCCAUCUCCCUCAUUUUUAACCAGUUCUUAUUGAUAGAACCAAUGUACAAAAAAAAAAUCUUUGUUUAGGAAGGAUACAGGAUGGGAAAUAAAAUACAACUCUG